rnacentral:lncRNA from 1 species
AAAUGUAUUUUUGUUCAUUUUAGAGAGUUCAGUAAUCGUUUUAUUUACUUUGAUUAAGAGUUUUCAUUGUUCACCUUUGUUACACAACACACGCAUACACAUUCACAUCGUGUUAUCUUAACUAACGAAGAACACUCAUUAUCGUUAUUUUAAUGACUUUUCAAUGUUUUACGAAUGUCAAGAAGGUGUUAUUGAAUAAGUUUGCAUACUUAUUUCCGUUUAUAUUGAUUUUGUAUCUGUAUUAAACUUUUUUUUUUUUGGUAUAAAUACACGAGAUAACCUUGAUAGCAUGUUGAUACGUCAUACUUUAUUUAAAGAAAAAAUCUAUGGAACACAGUUAGUGCCACUUUUAGGCGUACAAUUUUGUCUUUCUAAUGAAUAGGUUUAAUUGUUUUUAAGCG